UUUCAAGGAGAGAGAGAGAGCACGAGGACGCGACCUCUCUUUCGUUACGCGGCGAGAAGUACGUAGAGGCACCAAUCACCAUUAUAUUCCUUUUACUUGUUCAGAUUUUUUUUUUUUGCAAAUUAGAUUCUUCUUACUUUUUAUUUAGUUUAUUUCUUCUCUCGGCAAUUCUUGGGGAAAAAUGAAGUUACUAUUUCUCGCUCUAUUUAGUUUAUUUUGGUUGUAGGUUGUGUCGU